rnacentral:rRNA from 1 species
AUGGUUAAGUUAGAAAGGGCGCACGGUGGAUGCCUUGGCACUAGGAGCCGAUGAAGGACGGGACUAACACCGAUAUGCUUCGGGGAGCUGUAAGUAAGCUUUGAUCCGGAGAUUUCCGAAUGGGGAAACCCGCUGCACGUAAUGGUGCAGUAUCCAUACUUGAAUACAUAGAGUAUGGAAGGCAGAMCCGGGGAACUGAAACAUCUAAGUACCCGGAGGAAGAGAAAGCAAACGCGAUUCCCUGAGUAGCGGCGAGCGAAACGGGAUUAGCCCAAACCAA